rnacentral:misc_RNA from 1 species
AACAUCGCGCACCUGCGGGAACCUGCGGAGGGAUCAUUACACAAUACAAUAUGAAGGCUGUCCGCAGCUGGAGUAUUUUAUUACCCUUGUCUUUUGCGCACUUGUUGUUUCCUGGGCGGGUUCGCUCGCCACCAGGACCACCAAAUAAACCUUUUUUAUGCAGUUGCAAUCAGCGUCAGUACAAACAAUGUAAAUCAUUUACAACUUUUAGCAAUGGAUCU